rnacentral:ncRNA from 1 species
UAGAGAUCGACGGGUCUCUAAAGGAUGUGACAGAAUAACUUCUGUGGUCAAGCACGGAGUAAUGUAAAGUAGGAUAGGGGUGGUGCCCGCUGCAGGACCAGGAGACUGAGAGUUGCAGAACCCGAUAAGACCUAGGGAUCCGAAAGUUCUAGAGAGUACUGGUUGUCAGUGAGACCCUCUAGUUGUGAGUAUGACAGAAUCUCACCAUCCACAUU